UCCUGAGGAGAGCACCGGUGGAUAGCAUGGUAAGUGUAUGUAUGUGGCGCGAACUCGUGGAGUGCGUGCCCUCAAAACUCACGCAAUCCUUGUGGCCUGGGUUGUCCUACCCAGCAGGUACCCCGGUAACCCGAGGUAUACAUAUUCCCACACGUAGACCUGCUGGUGGUGCGGCUAGCCUAUAGACCACGAGAGUGUUAAGAACCCACCUAACAUGUGCAUGGGGGGGGGCCAUGGUGAAGGCAUGAUCAACGUAUAUGGAGCUGGGUUAAGGUGCCGGGGACCUACAUAUCUGUACUAGCAUCUUUACUCAUCUAAACAAGCACGUUGCCAAGUCAGGAUACAUACAGGAAUUAAUUUCGUCGCAUUAUCCUGCUGGCCGGCUGAAAGCAAUUAAUGCGCAUGAUGCUCACCAUGAGGAUGGGACCGGUGCCACCACCCCAUGUUUGUACGGCAAUGCCUGUAUCGUAGCCUAGCUCCCGGCAAACCACCGUAGCCUCCGUGUCACCGAAACCAUCAUCGCUGCAAUAGCAACAACAAGCCAAAUAUAUGCGUGCAUGCCAGAUCGAUAUCGGCGCCGAACAUGUGCAAAGACGAAGUGUUUGCGCAAACCGUCCAGCAGGCAGCUCUAAAACGGCCAAUUGCCCCCGCCCAGGAAGACGAACUAAUGCAUGCAAAGUUAGGCAGGUUACCGAUAUCUCGUGGAUGAUUUGUCUCCGUUUUUUCGUUUGACUAGUCCAUGGUUUGUUGUGGAAGGCAAUGUCGUGCAUGGCACGGAAGCCGGUUCCAAGCAGCACUGCACGAUAAGAGUGUUGCCAGCGGACUACGCAAACAUAGCACGUAGUUGUCGUACAAUACGUCACACGCCAUCGGUUAAGGGUACUCCAGAACCAUUUGUUAUGAGGGGGCUAAUGAAAGGGUUGGGAGUCACUACUGGUCACCAGAACACACACACACACACACACACACGCCAUCACGUUUAUACAAACAUGUUAUCCACAUUCCAAGAUCAUAUCAAAGCGCGUCUUGAGAGGCCUUUUCGGCGCCAGCAGCUACUUCACAUGCACUUCCAAACUGCCUGGCAUGGCGGAUGACGGAGCAAAUCGUGUCCACUGCAACGAACUAGCCAACUGUCGCUUGAGUGCUUGUAUGUUGGAUGCAUGCACGUAUGGCCCACAUUGGAACUACGGACACUUCAUUAACAGCUUCCUCUAUCGCCAGUCGCUUGGAGCACAUCCCAUGAGCCUCUGGGACAGCCCACUUAACAAGUCGUACACGUGCAACACAUCCCAUAUGUGGCGAAAGUAGGAAGGUCGAAACAAACCGGGCCCCUUGUCCGUCUUACUUACCAGACACUGCCCCAACUAGAUCCAUAGAAGAUUUCAACACGGCCCUCGCUGGGACUGCUUCCGCCCACGAGUCUGAGACUGUAGAGAGAUGUCGGCGGCUCAGGAGGCGUUGGCGGCAGCAGGGGUGGUGAUUCUGGAGGUGGAGACAGAUCUUCUUCUGCACAACCACAUAUUGAUCAGUCCGUGCAUGCUAUCUUCACCAAAUGCUCUAGUAUGUUAUGGAAAGCUUGCUUCAUCGCAACAAGGGGAACGCUCAUUACUACCUCUUGGAUUGUAAAUUAGGAGAAGACAUAUGUACACACAUAUAUACAUGCAUUGAUACAUAAACGUAUCGAAGUACAUGCACAUCAUAGUACGUCCAUACAUGGAUCCACAUUCAUGUAUGACAUUUGUCACCAUAUCAGUGUUCAAAUAACAGCUGCUAUGCGUACAUCGUAUUGCAGGAACAGCGGUCAGAAGCCAGCAGCAGCCCUCCUAAGGAUGAUGAACCCCACACGCACGCAACCCACAUACCAUAGCAUCGAACACCAACGUCCUGCAUGCAUGGCAGGGUUCAUAAUGGAGCAAGUAUGUCGGCAGUCACCGGCGUGUACUGCAUAUUCCUGCUGAUGACGUGCUACAGUGAUGCGGACAGUGUGCGACUUCAUUAAGCCCACAUUAAAUUAAAUGUUGAAAAGUUAGUGUUCGGACAAGUGGAAACACCCUGUAACUCCUAAAUCGAUCUAAUUACAGGGGCCAGGGCUGAUAGCUGAGUUGGAAGAGGUGUUGAGGUGUCUGUCGUACACGCACGUAUGUUAGGGUACGGCACACGUUUUUCUACAUAUAUCAUGUUUUAAGGCAGCUAAAUGGAUUUGUGACGUCUUUUCGUUCAGAAUAGGAUUACAGAUAGCGUGUAGCACUUAUUGCCUGAAGUCUUAGGUUCGACCCCCUGAGAAAUGUGCACUUGUCAGUCUAAGUACAGGUGAGGAAGCAGAAAUCGGUGAUGUGGCUGGAGGACGAUCGUGUUUUUCAUCACGACCACCUCUUAAAAAUCCCAUAUUUUUAAGGCUUAAGAAUGUAAGCAACAGACAAAAUUCCCUGAGCAUAAGACUUAAGAAUGAGAGCCAUACUUAGCAAACCAGUGGUAGGAAUGGUUGAAAACCGCCAAAGAGCAGCUAAGUAUGCUUUGGUCGAAAAAUCAAUCAGUUACCCUAAGAACGUAUAAGAACACCCCAAAGAAUCAAAGAGAAUACAUAAGACUGCUGGGACCUAAAGAAUGCUAAAGAAUUUGAAAGUGUGGUUUUAAGAUAAACGGAGGUCAUACCAACGUUCUUAGGACGGUCAAAUAACGGUCAAAUAACGUUUUAAUGGUUAUCAAAUUUUAUCAAUUUGGCUUGGCUAAGAACGACUUAGGGUUAGAUGAGAAGACUUUCCUUCCUCAAGGCUAACCAAACCCAAGUCAUAAUAAUCCCCAGACCUUCACCCUGUAGAUCUCUAGAGCCAAAAUGAUUUCCAGCUAAGGUUCGUUGUUGUUUGAUGUUGCAUACAAUGUAUGCAACUCAUGGCACCAUGGCAAGCUCACCUCGGAGUGGUCGCAGUUGGCCCAGCCGUUAAAACCACACUGAAACAGCCGGCUCGGCAGUGGAGAGUCAUCACAAUCAACGUCAUCCUGAGAAGAGCACCGGUGGAUAGCAUGGUAAGUGUACGUAAGUAGCACGAACUCGUGGAGUGCGUGCCCUCAAAACUCACGCAAUCCUUGUGGCCUGGGUUGUCCUACCCAGCAGGUACCCCGGUGACCCGAGGUAUGCAUAUUCCCACACGUAGACCUGCUGGUGGUGCGGCUAGCCUAUAGCAACGAGGGUGUUAAGAACCCACCUAACAUGUGCAUGGGGGGCCCAUGGUGAAGGCAUGAUCAACGUAUAUAUGGAGCUAGGUUAAGGUGCCGGGGACCUACAUAUCUGUACUAGCAUCUUCACUCACCUAAACAAGCACGUUGCCAAGUCAGGAUACAUACAGGAAUUAAUUUCGUCGCGUUAUUCUGCUGGGCGGAUGAAACUAAGCAAUCAAUGC
rnacentral:lncRNA from 1 species